rnacentral:rRNA from 1 species
UAAGCGAAUAGUGAAAUGACGAGGCUCAACCUUGUGUCCAUUAUUUGAACUGCUAAGCUAGAGGAUGAGAGAGGUUAUUGGAAUUUCUUGUGUAGGAGUGAAAUCCGUAGAUAUAAGAAGGAACACCGAUGGCGUAGGCAGAUAACUGGCUCAUUCCUGACACUGAGGCACGAAAGCAUGGGGAGCGAACGGGAUUAGAUACCCCGGUAGUCCAUGCCGUAAACGAUGGAUGCUA